rnacentral:rRNA from 1 species
CCAANGUAUGCCUUGGAAACUGUUAGACUUGAGUGCAGAAGGGGAGAGUGGAAUNCCAUGUGUAGCGGUGAAAUGCGUAGAUAUAUGGAGGAACACCGGUGGCGAAAGCGGCUCUNUGGUCUGUCACUGAUGCUGAGGCUNGAAAGCGUGGGUAGCGAACAGGAUUAGAUACCNUGGUAGUCCACGCCGUAAACGCUGAGUGCUAGGUGUUAGGUCCUUUCCGGGACUUAGUGCCGACGCUAACGCAUUAAGCACUCCGCCUGGGGAGUACGACCGCAGGGUUGAAACUCAAAGGAAUUGACGGGGGCCCGCACAAGCGGUGGAGCAUGUGGUUUAAUUCGAAGCAACGCGAAGAACCUUACCAGGUCUUGACAUCCCGAUGCCCGCUCUAGAGAUAGAGUUUUUCUUCGGAACAUCGGAGACAGGUGGUGCAUGGUUGUCGUCAGCUCGUGUCGUGAGAUGUUGGGUUAAGUCCCGCAACGAGCGCAACCCUUAUUGUUAGUUGCCAUCAUUAAGUUGGGCACUCUAGCGAGACUGCCGGUAAUAAACCGGAGGAAGGUGGGGAUGACGUCAAAUCAUCAUGCCCCUUAUGACCUGGGCUACACACGUGCUACAAUGGUUGGUACAACGAGUCGCAAGCCGGUGACGGCAAGCUAAUCUCUGAAAGCCAAUCUCAGUUCGGAUUGUAGGCUGCAACUCGCCUACAUGAAGUCGGAAUCGCUAGUAAUCGCGGAUCAGCACGCCGCGGUGAAUACGUUCCCGGGCC